rnacentral:rRNA from 1 species
AUGGGUGUUGGCUCCAACAAUUCGCAUUGGUCUCAAACCAAUGACAUGCAUUUUCAAGACCAUGAGUUCGAGGUGGACAAGGAGGGUGAGGGCAUUGUCGACGCACCGAAAGGAAGAGCGGGAAAUUACACCAACACCGAUGACAUCUUACUAUGCAAUACUUGGUUGCAAGUGUCGAGGGAUCCAUCCGUUGGAGGUGAUCAAAGUAGAGAUGCUUAUUGGAACCGGAUUAAGGAACACUUUGAUGCUCGCAACAUGAGUGGAAUUGACCGCUCCAACCGAUCACUUAGGUCCCGGUGGUCGACAAUCAACUCGGAUUGUCAAAGGUGGGCGGCUUGUCAAAAGGCGGUUGACAAGUUGAACCCAAGUGGCACAAAUGAGGACGAUAGAGUAAGUGCCAUUUCAUCUUACAUGUUGGUGCUAAACUUGCUUUGUUUUGCUUGUUGUUGGUGCUAA